AUUGAACGCUGGCGGCAGGCUUAACACAUGCAAGUCGAGCGGAGAUGAGGUGCUUGCACCUUAUCUUAGCGGCGGACGGGUGAGUAAUGCUUAGGAAUCUGCCUAUUAGUGGGGGACAACAUUCCGAAAGGAAUGCUAAUACCGCAUACGUCCUACGGGAGAAAGCAGGGGAUCUUCGGACCUUGCGCUAAUAGAUGAGCCUAAGUCGGAUUAGCUAGUUGGUGGGGUAAAGGCCUACCACGGCGACGAUCUGUAGCGGGUCUGAGAGGAUGAUCCGCCACACUGGGACUGAGACACGGGCCUGACUCCUACGGGAGGCAGCAGUUGGGAAUAUUGGACAAGGGGGGAACCCUGAUCCAGCCAUGCCGCGUGUGUGAAGAAGGCCUUAUGGUUGGAAAUGACUUUAAGCGAGGAGGAGGCUACUGAGACUAAUACUCUUGGAUAGUGGACGUUACUCGCAGAAUAAGCACCGGCUAACUCUGUGCCAGCAGCCGCCGUAACAC
rnacentral:rRNA from 1 species